rnacentral:rRNA from 1 species
AACGAACGCUGGCGGCAUGCCUAACACAUGCAAGUCGAACGACACCUUCGGAUCUGGUGGCUCAUAGGGGUGUAACGCGGGGGAACGUUCACGUAGGUUCCGAAAUACACCUCGUAGGGGGGGCUAAUACCGGGUAAGUUCCUCGGACAACAGAUUUAUCGUCCUGGGAUGGGCCCGCGAUGGUUUACACUGUUGGUAGGGUAAAAGCCUCCCAAGGCGACGAUCCAUAGCUGGUAUGAGAGGAUGAUCAGCCACACUGGGACUGGGACACGGCCCAGACUCCUACGGGAGGCAGCAGUGGGGAAUAUUGGACAAUGGGCGAAAGCCUGAUCCCGCAAUGCCGGGUGAGUGCUGUAGGCCUUAGGGUUGUACAGCUCUUUUACCCGGGAUGAUAAUGACGGUACCGGGAGAAUAAGCUCCGGCUAACUCCGUG